rnacentral:rRNA from 1 species
GGGCCCGCACAAGCGGUGGAGUAUGUGGUUUAAUUCGAUGCAACGCGAAGAACCUUACCAGGGUUUGACAUCCUGCGAAUCUCUUGGAAACAGGAGAGUGCCUUCGGGAACGCAGUGACAGGUGGUGCAUGGCUGUCGUCAGCUCGUGUCGUGAGAUGUUGGGUUAAGUCCCGCAACGAGCGCAACCCACGUCUUUAGUUGCCAGCAUUUAGUUGGGCACUCUAGAGAAACUGCCAGCGUAAGCUGUGAGGAAGGUGGGGAUGACGUCAAAUCAUCACGGCCUUACAUCCUGGGCCACACACGUACUACAAUGCUACGGACAAAGGGCAGCAAGUUCGCGAGGACAAG